AGAGGGAAAACCUGAGGCCCCAGCCACGCCAGUGACAGAAGAGCCUCCUCCCAUCAACGUGGGAAUGCUGAACGGAGGCCACCGCAUUGACUCUGUGCUGCAAGAGAAGCCGGUUGAAAGCUUUAAGGAGUAUCUGUUUGCACUGCAAGGCCAUCUUUGCUACUGGUAAGGAAUGGCUUCAGGAAGGCGGGGGUUGCUUCAGCACUCCUCAUCCCCAGCUGCAUUCGCCACCUCGCCUCACCCACCAGACAUGCAGCCGUAGUUCUGAGCAGUGCCAUUUGGGAUGACCAAGUUCUGGAUGAGAACCUCUGUAGUAGUGGUGGACAUAAGAAGAGGCCGGUCUUGGCUGGUCGGAUCACAAAUGGCUGUUGGAAAUGUAUGCACUUUGUAAAAUGUGUCUAUUUAAAAAUGGUAUUUAAGUUUUUCCAGUAA